UUUCUUAUGGUGUAAGCAACACGUCAGUUUUUCGUACUGAAGAUGAUGAAGUUCUAAGGGAU
rnacentral:tRNA from 1 species